CGGAGUGUGGCGCAGCCUGGUAGCGCGCUUGCAUGGGGUGCAAGAGGUCCCGAGUUCGAGUCUCGGCACUCCGA
rnacentral:tRNA from 2 species